rnacentral:rRNA from 1 species
AAAUUGAAGAGUUUGAUCAUGGCUCAGAUUGAACGCUGGCGGCAGGCCUAACACAUGCAAGUCGAACGGUAACAGGAAGCAGCUUGCUGCUUCGCUGACGAGUGGCGGACGGGUGAGUAAUGUCUGGGAAACUGCCUGAUGGAGGGGGAUAACUACUGGAAACGGUAGCUAAUACCGCAUAACGUCGCAAGACCAAAGAGGGGGACCUUCGGGCCUCUUGCCAUCGGAUGUGCCCAGAUGGGAUUAGCUUGUUGGUGGGGUAACGGCUCACCAAGGCGACGAUCCCUAGCUGGUCUGAGAGGAUGACCAGCCACACUGGAACUGAGACACGGUCCAGACUCCUACGGGAGGCAGCAGUGGGGAAUAUUGCACAAUGGGCGCAAGCCUGAUGCAGCCAUGCCGCGUGUAUGAAGAAGGCCUUCGGGUUGUAAAGUACUUUCAGCGGGGAGGAAGGGAGUAAAG